GAANNCANCCUUUUGAGCUCGGUCUCGUGGGUUUUGAAGAGUUUCAAAGCCUUCGGCAUUCGCGGGAUUGGGAUCUCUUGGCGUACUUUUUCGUACGGUUAGUCAACAUCGGUUUUGAAUGUCAUAAAAUGACUGGAGGAAUGUAGCUUCGAUCUCGUAUUGAAGUGUUAUAGCCUUUGGUAGAUGUGAUGUUUGAGACCGAGGAUUGCAACGGAUACCCUUCAGGGCUAUUCGUCUGAUCUCUGAUACGUUGCCUUGAUGUUGAAA
rnacentral:rRNA from 1 species